GGCCAGAUAGCUCAGUUGGUAGCAUAUAGAGCACCUGACUAGGGAUUCAGGGGGCCCAGGUUCGAAUCCCGGUCUGGUCC